ACCGGUGUGUGAAGAAGCCUUAGGUUGUAAAGCACUUUCAAUUGGAAGGAAAAACUCAUGGCCAAUACCCGUGAGCUUGACAUUACCUUUAGAAGAAGCACCGGCUAACUCCGUGCCAGCAGCCGCGGCAAUACGGAGGGUGCAAGCGUUAAUCGGAAUUACUGGGCGUAAAGCGUGCGUAGGCGGCUCGCUAAGUCAGAUGUGAAAGCCCCGGGCUCAACCUGGGAACGGCAUUUGAAACUGGCAAGCUAGAGUUUGGGAGAGGAGAGUGGAAUUUCAGGUGUAGCGGUGAAAUGCGUAGAGAUCUGAAGGAACACCAGUGGCGAAGGCGACUCUCUGGCCUAAAACUGACGCUGAGGUACGAAAGCGUGGGUAGCAAACAGGAUUAGAUACCCUGGUAGUCCACGCCGUAAACGAUGUCAACUAGCCGUUGGCUCUCUUAGAGAGUUAGUGGCGCAGCUAACGCAUUAAGUUGACCGGCUGGGGAGUACGGNCGCAAGGUUAAAACUCAAAUGAAUUGACGGGGGCCCGCACAAGCGGUGGAGCAUGUGGUUUAAUUCGAUUGCACG
rnacentral:rRNA from 1 species